GACGAACGCUGGCGGCGUGCUUAACACAUGCAAGUCGAGCGGUAAGGCCCUUUCGGGGGUACACGAGCGGCGAACGGGUGAGUAACACGUGGGUGACCUGCCCUCAGCUCUGGGAUAAGCCUGGGAAACUGGGUCUAAUACUGGAUAUGACUCCACGGUGCAUGUCGUGGGGUGGAAAGCCUUGUGCGGCUGAGGAUGGGCCCGCGGCCUAUCAGCUUGUUGGUGGGGUGANGGCCUACCAAGGCGACGACGGGUAGCCGGCCUGAGAGGGCGACCGGCCACACUGGGACUGAGACACGGCCCAGACUCCUACGGGAGGCAGCAGUGGGGAAUCUUGCGCAAUGGGCGAAAGCCUGACGCAGUGACGCCGCGUGAGGGAUGACGGCCUCGG
rnacentral:rRNA from 1 species